CCCUUAGAUGUCCUGGGCCGCACGCGCGCUACACUGAACGGAUCAGCGCGUUUUCCCUUCCCGAGAGGGACGGGUAACCUGCUGAACCCCGUUCGUGGUAGGGAUCGGGGCUUGCAAUUAUUCCCCGUGAACCAGGAAUGCCCAGUAAGUGCAAGUCAUAAGCUUGCGUUGAUUACGUCCCUGCCCUUUGUACACACCGCCCGUCGCUACUACCGAUUGAACGUUUUAGUGAGGUACUCGGACUGAGCCUCAGAAGAUUCACGUCUUUUGUGCUGCUCGGGGAGAUUCCCAAACUUGAGCGUUUAGAGGAAGUAAAAGUCGUAACA
rnacentral:rRNA from 1 species